CACUGCUACAAGACGUCAUUGAAGCCAAGAGCUUGGGAGGAUUUGUUUUUUAAAAGGACUGGUUCAUUAGCUACUAUUCUUCAUACAAGAGAGCAAAUGAGCAGGAGUUUGAGAAGUGAUCCAAACCUUCUUUCUUCAGGGCAUGAACCACCAUCUAAGUAAUGAAGAUCAGGAGCAAACUUCUCCAUUUAGCCGGUUAUUCCAUCACUGUCCACUAAGACGUCUCUUGACCCAUCUUCUGAAGCCACUGGUGUGGGCCAUGAAUGCACUACAGCUCUGAAUUAGUCUUGCACUUACUAUGUUAAUUGCCUCGAGGCCGUGACGUCGCUCUUUAAUAACUAAUGGUUUUUCCUGAGCCAAAGACUAGUCGUGCUGCUUUUAGAAAUGAAUUCAGCGUUAGUUUUGCUUCCUGGGGCAGGACCCCUGGACUGUAUGGAUUUUUGCCGAGGAGUACGGCUGGAUAACAGCAGAUCUUCCGGAUGUCCUGAACUAAGCUUCCAGCCCAAUAGAGCAAUUUCCGGGCUGGAGCUGCCCAGUGCUUGGGAAGGAGAAUUUAAGAGAGUGCUCCUAGGCUCCAUAGUAGAUUAUGCAAGCUUGAAUUGCUUCGUUUGAUCUCAUUUAACUUAUUUAUUAUUAGGGUGACAGUUCUGAAUAGCUGAUAAACGGUUUGGAAAACAGGGUUGGUUUCACUGAAUCUCCUGACUCCAAAUUUAUUGGGG